rnacentral:rRNA from 1 species
GAUGAACGCUAGCGGCAGGCUUAACACAUGCAAGUCGAGGGGCAGCAUGAUGUAGCAAUACAUUGAUGGCGACCGGCGCAAGGGUGCGUAACGCGUGAGUAACAUGCCCGUAUCAGGGGGAUAACCCGAAGAAAUUCGGACUAAUACCCCAUAGUAAUUUGUGGAGGCAUCUCUAUAAAUUUAAAGCUCCGGCGGAUACGGAUUGACUCGCGUGACAUUAGCUAGAUGGUAAGGUAACGGCUUACCAUGGCGACGAUGUCUAGGGGAACUGAGAGGUUGGUCCCCCACACUGGAACUGAGACACGGACCAGACUCCUACGGGAGGCAGCAGUGAGGAAUAUUGGUCAAUGGACGCAAGUCUGAACCAGCCAUGCCGCGUGCAGGAAGACGGCUCUAUGAGUUGUAAACUGCUUUUGUAAGGGAGCAAUAAGGUGCACGUGUGCAUCGAUGAGAGUACCUUACGAAUAAGCAUCGG